UUACUCGGAUAACCGUAGUAAUCUAGAGCUAAUACGUGCGCACAUCCCGACUUCUGGAAGGGACGUAUUUAUUAGAUAAAAGGCCGACCGGGCUCUGCCCGCCUCGCGGUGACUCAUGAUAACUUCACGAAUCGCACGGCCUCGUGCCGGCGAUGUUUCAUUCAAAUUUCUGCCCUAUCGACUUUUGAUGGUAGGAUAGAGGCCUACCAUGGUGGUAACGGGUGACGGAGAAUUAGGGUUCAAUUCCGGAGAGGGAGCCUGAGAAACGGCUACCACAUCCAAGGAAGGCAGCAGGCGCGCAAAUUACCCAAUCCUGACACAGGGAGCGUAGUGGACAAUAAAUAACCAAUACCGGGCCUUUGGUCUGGUAAUUGGA
rnacentral:rRNA from 1 species